UCGGCUCCAAGUUAUACAGUAUAAGUCAGCUCCAGGUUCUAAGUCAGCUCCAGGUUCUAAGUCAGCUCCAGGUUCUAAGUCAGCUCCAGCUUUUUCCAGCUGUUUUCUUUCACAUAUUGCUUCACAACGAGAAAGUAGAAAUCAACUUAGUGACAUGAAUUUAAUGAAGUUAAGC